GGGGCUUUAGGCAAUUAUCUCAACACCUGUUUUCGUUUCUCUCGUCCCGAGGAUGGGUAGGGACGAAAGGGGGAGAUUUUAGAUCUGUAAAUAUUUUUAAAGAGAAAAAAUAAAACAUUUUAAGCAUCGUUGCUAACUUUGGUGAUUGGUUGCCUGGGGUGCUAGAGCGCGGAAGGUUUUCUGGCUUUUCGGCGGAGGGAUUGCCAGCGUGAGUCACUGAGGUCUGGCUCGCCCCACGUGGAGGGUGGGGCCGGGGUCAGGGGUCAAAACUCGGGACCUUGGCGCUGCGCCUCCAUCCACUCUCUAGUAGUGUUGAAGCGGGCCGAGGCGCGCCCCAGCCGAAAUGCAGCUCCGGAGUCCGCGCAGAGAGGGACAAAGGCGAGGAGGCAGACCUCGCUGCUGAUACAGUUGCCUCCCGGGAAUGAGCAUCUUCCUAGCACUGGGAGCGCCUUGGGCUUGGUUGCAGUAGGGCGCCGUGCGACGUCGCCCAACCCUUGACACUCGCCUUCUCUCCGAGGGCGCAGGGCACGUGGGACGGCACUGCCUGGACCCGUUGUUUAUAGUAUUGUGCGUGACUAAAUAGCCGGAUCGCUGCCAAGCACGUGGCCGCUCACGCUGAAUGGAACCGUGGCGCGCGGCCAGGGCGCCCACGGACUUGCGUGCCCCAGCACCUGCCGCCGCGCCGGGGCUGGAGGGGCGCGGCACCGACAGAAUGGCCGCACGAGGGUCAUGCAAAUAGCAGACUUUCGAAAGGUUAGAUCGCAGCCACCUGUUCCUUGUAAAACGUCGGAAAAGGAAGCCGGAGUAGGCCAGUGGUUUGGUGUCACGUGGGGUGAGCUCCCUAGUUCUGCCUCUGGCCCCGGGGCCCCGCUUAGCCGUUGCGAAGGUGCCAGGAGUCUUCGGCGCGAUCAGAUCUCAUCUUGUAGAAGGGAAACUGUUUGCAUGAUAGUCUUAUCUCUUUGAGCAGAAAGGCAUCGAAAUUAUCUGCAUUUCGUGAAAAUAUACGGAAUAUCUGUAAGCCGCCAAUUGACCUUCAGUCUUCUAAAAUGCCUGGUCUAUUGUCCAUUGGAGGUCAUCUUUUCUUCUCACAUUAAAUUUAAUAAAAAUCAUUGUCUGUUUCAAGCUGAUGUCAGAAGGAUGUUACCCAAGAACAUAUUUGCCAAUACUAAGUUGGUUCAAUUGCAUUUAUUU
rnacentral:lncRNA from 1 species